UACACUGCUGUGGUUUAAGUCACCCGGUCUGUGGCACUUUGCUACGGCAGCUGAGCAGACUGACAGAGAUGGGAAUGUGAAGCCUGAGAUGGGAGAAGGACUGACCCAGGUCUCUGCAAGCUGAAGGUGGAGCUGAGCUGGGAGCCUCAUCUGCGGAUCCCCAGGACGGAUCACGUAUCCUCGCACCAGCCCCUCUGCCCUGGCUUCUCGGGCAGUAGCAGCUGUUUCUAGCCUAGCCUGGUCCCCUUGGGACCUCACCAAGCCAAAAAUGCCUGUGGCCUCAAAGGGAGCUGGGAGGGAAGGCACGUCGCACUACAGGAAGGACCGUUUCUCUCUUCCAAAAGAGCUGGGACCUCAGCACGUCCGACAAGACUGAGCUCGGGAGCCAAUCGCUGCACGGGGAGCCAGUAAUUAAUAAAAAUGGGUAAUGAUAGAC